rnacentral:rRNA from 1 species
GAUGAACGCUGGCGGCGUGCCUAAUACAUGCAAGUCGAGCGAACGGACGAGAAGCUUGCUUCUCUGAUGUUAGCGGCGGACGGGUGAGUAACACGUGGAUAACCUACCUAUAAGACUGGGAUAACUUCGGGAAACCGGAGCUAAUACCGGAUAAUAUUUUGAACCGCAUGGUUCAAAAGUGAAAGACGGUCUUGCUGUCACUUAUAGAUGGAUCCGCGCUGCAUUAGCUAGUUGGUAAGGUAACGGCUUACCAAGGCAACGAUGCAUAGCCGACCUGAGAGGGUGAUCGGCCACUCUAGAACUGAGACACGGUCCAGACUCCUACGGGAGGCAGCAGUACGGAAUCUUCCGCAAUGGGCGCAAGACUGACGGAGCAACGCCGCGUGAGUGAUGAAGAUCUGCGGAUCGUAAGACUCUGUUAUUAGGGAAGAACAUAUGUCUAAGUAACAGUGAACAUCUUGACGGUACCUUAUCAGAAAGCCACGGCUAAAUACGUG